AUGACAUACCGAUCCGGUAAAAAGACAUGCAUAAAAGUUAUAUGUUGCCUUAUGCUACCAAGUGCAGGUUUGAGAAAAUAUAAACAUCAACCUCAACUCUACAAUAUGAUGCAGCAACAAAAUAUAAACAUCAACCUUAUAUAUAAUGCAGCAACUUCAUUAGUUUAUCCCCAAAAAACACAGUAUAGUUGUUUAUACAUCAAUGGGUUAAAAAUAUAA